UCCGCCGUUAACACCGGAGAGUCCGGAGCGCUGGCGGCGGAGGGGGCGGCCCUAGCGCUCAGCUGAGGGCCCUGCAGGCGAGGCUGUGAGUUGAGGGUUCCGGUCUUCAGGAAAGGAAGUUUCAGUCCCUGGCUGCGGUGUUGGGAGUAAGGGCAUCAUGUUUGAUCAGCGACAGAGCAUCUCUAGCGCUCUAUCUUUACCGAUAUCUGCACCUUCUGAAGAGCAACAGAAAAUGACCAAUUCUCAGGGAUUUGUGUCACUCAAGGAUGUGACUGUGGACUUCACUUGGGAGGAGUGGCAGUACCUGGACUCUGCUCAAAGAAACUUGUACAGGGAUGUGAUGCUGGAGAACUAUAGCAACCUUGUUUCAGUGGGAUGUCAGUCUCUGAAGUCAGAUGUAAUCUCAUUGAAGCGAGGAGAACCAUGGAUGAAGGAGGAAGAAAUCUCAAGUUGGGCCUACUCAGAGCUCAAGAGUGAAGUAACAUCAUUUACACUUGGGCUUUUUUCAGACUUUUGUAUUAGACCCAAGAUGAAAGAAUUAACACCAUGGAAGAGCAUUUCUGAACAAGUGAUACUUCAUAACAUGAUUGUAUACUCAACUUCUGAAGAUUGGAGACUUGAAGAUGAGAUAAAUCACCAGGAAAACCAAGACAAGCUUUUGAAUCAAGUUGCAUUCAUUAGCAAUAAGCCACUAACUGAGGAGAUAGAUCAUGAAUGUAACAAUGUACUGGGGAAAGGGAUUCAUCUAAACAGAACAUCUAAUGAACACAUCGGAGCCUUCAUGCAGAAGUCACACCUCUUUGUACAACCAAAAAUUCUAACCAGUGAGAAAUCAUAUAAAUGUAUUCAGUGUGGGAAGGCCUUCAGUGGAAAGUCAGGACUCAUUGCACAUCAGAGAAUUCAUACUGGGGAGAAACCAUACAAAUGUAAUGAAUGUGAAAAAGCCUUUAUUCAGAAGUCACAACUCACUGUACAUCAGAGAAUUCAUACAGGAGAGAAACCCUAUAAAUGUGGUGAGUGUGGGAAAGCAUUCAUCCAGAAGUCAAACCUCAUUAUUCAUCAGAGGAUUCACACAGGGGAAAAACCCUAUGAAUGCAAGGAAUGUGGGAAAGCUUUCAUCAAGAAGUCAACACUUAGUAUUCAUCAAAGAGCUCAUACUGGGGAGAAACCAUAUGAAUGCAGUGACUGUGGAAAAGCCUUCAUCUGGCAGUCACAGCUUGUUGUACAUCAGAGAACUCAUACUGGGGAGAAACCCCAUGGAUGUAAAGAGUGUGGAAAAGCCUUCAACAGGAAGUCAGAACUAAGUGUACAUCACAGAAUUCACACUGGAGAGAAACCCUUUGAGUGUAGUGAAUGUAAAAAAGCCUUCAUUAAAAAGUCAGAUCUCAUUGUACAUCAGAGAACUCACACUGGGGACAAAAGGUAUCAAUGCUGUGAUUGUGGGAAAGCCUUUAUCCGGAGCUCACAGUUCAUUGAACAUCAGAGAAUUCAUACUGGGGAGAAACCCUAUGAAUGCAGUGAAUGCAGAAAAGCUUUUAUCCAGAAAUCACAACUCACUGUUCAUCAAAGAAUCCAUACUGGGAUGAAGCCGUAUGAAUGCACUGAGUGUGGAAAAGCCUUUAGUAAGAAGUCACACCUCACUGUACAUCAUAGAAUACACACUGGAGAAAAACCCUAUGAAUGUAGUAUUUGUAGAAAAGCUUUCAGCAAGAAAUCUACUCUGACUGUUCAUCAGAGAAUUCAUACGAAACAGAAACCCUUUUAAUGGAAUGAGAAAACUUAAAUGAUUAAAAUUUCAUCACACAUCAUAGAAUUCACAAAGUCUAAAAACUCUAUGAAUAUACUAAACAUGGGAAGCCUUCCACAAUAGCUCCCAAACUAUUAAGCACCAGAAAAUCCAUACUGAGAAGCAAGUUUGAAAAAUCAUGUAUCCAAAAAAUUAUAUUGGACAUCUUGGUUCAGCCUAAUAAAUUCAACGCAGGGAUUUCAUGUAGGAUUUAGUCAUCAUGUCUCCUUUGUCUCCUCUGGCCUGCAACUAUUGGUUAGCUAAAUUACUUCAUAGUAUUGCCUCCUUGGCAUCCAUUUUGUGUGGCUAAGUGGCCUUGAACUGACAUUGGCCCCUCCCUCAUGUGCAUGCCUCCCUCAGAUAACAGCCUGCUGAAUCACAAGUAAGUAGUCUUUGUGGUAAGCAGCCUCUCCUGGGAUUGUGCAUCCUUCCCUUAUGGGCCCCUUAGAUAAGACCCCUGCAAAACUUACCAAAACCUCAUUCUUCUUAGUUUGAAUUGACCAAUCUGGCCUUAGCCCAAGGAUCCCAAAGCACUAGACCCUCAAGCCCUAGAAAAGCCAUAUGCUCCAACUCUUGUUGCUCACUCUUUGCCUGUCCCCUGCCUUAACCUCCCCAUGUGUGUCCUUGAGUGCCAUGUAUCUCCUCCAGGACCUGUGAGUCAGUGUAAGUAUUGUCCUAAGUGUAAGGACAGCAUGAUAUUGACCAAACAUAAAACUAGAUCACUUUCCCUUGCAGUCUUUGUUGAACUUUGCCUUGACAUCGGACACCCCAAGACCGUACUUAACAAAUGUUAACAAAAACCACACAACUGACCUUCUUACUCUUUCCUGUUUUUCAUGAUCUUGUACUUUUUGAGGAGUACCUUUCAGGUUUUUUGUAAAAUGGCCCUCAGUUUAAAAAAAAAAAUGUAGCCAUUCUAGGAGAUGUGUAGUGGUAUUACUUUGUGGUUUUAAUUUGCAUUUCCCUAAAAUCUAAUGAUGCUGAGCAUCUUUAUGUAUGCUUAUUGGCAAUUUGUUUAUCUAUGUUGGUGAUUUUCCAAAUCUUAUACUCAUUUUAAAAAAUCAAAUCAUUAGUCUUUUUAUUAUGGAGUGAUAAUAAUUCCUUUUGUGUUCUAGAUACAAGUUUUAUCAGAUAUAUUUUGCAAAUGUUUUCUCCCUAUCUAGUUUCUCUUUUCAAUUUCUAAGCAGUCUCUUCAGAGGAGGAAAGCUUUUAAUUUUGAGAAGUCCAGUUUAUCAAUCUUUCCUUUUAUGGUUUGUGCUUUUUGUGUUCAAGAAAUCUUUGCCUAAAUUAAAGUCACAAAGAUUUUUUCCCUUUGUUUUCUUCUAGAGAUUUUUGUAGUUUUAGCUCCUACAUCUAUGUUUAAGAGCCCUAUUCAGUUAAUUUUAAUAUAUUUGUGAAUUAAAAUUGAGGUACAUAUUUUUUGCAUAGGGAUAUGUAAUUGAUUAGCACCAUUUUCCAAAAAAAGAUUAUCCUUUUCUGUUGAAUUACCAUAAUACCUCUGUCAGAAAUCAAGUAUAUAUAUUUUUGUACUUUCUUUUUUUCACUGAUAUUUACAUCUGUUCUUACCACAUUGUAUUUAUUCUUUAGUUUUCUGUUGUGUUGAAAUAAACUUUAUUUUUCUUUUUUCAGGAUCGUUAUGCAUAUUCUAGACCCUUUGCAUUUUUACAUCAUUUUAGAAUCAGCUUGUCAAUUUCUACAAAGAAACCUGAAGAGAUUUGAUUUAGAUUUAAUUGAACCUAUAAAUCAAUUUAGAGAUAACCAUCUCAGCAAUUUGAAUCUUCCUUUCCAUAAGCAUGAUAUAUCCCCUCUAUUUAUUUGGUCUUUAAUUUCUCUGUGUAAUGUUUUGUAGUAUUCAACAUGCAAGCCUUACCCAUACUGUGUUAAAUUUUCUUUAAGAAUUUCAUAUGUUUAGGAUAUAUUGUAAAAAACAUAAAAAUAAAUAAAUCCAGUAAGUGACUUUAGCAAGGUUACAGAAUAGAAGUAAUACAGUAAUUAUAUUUUAUAUACUAACAAUGAGAAUUCUGGGGCGCCUGGAUGGCUCAGUUGGUUAAGCGCCUGCCUUCAGCUCAGGAAAUGAUCCUGGGGUCCUCUGUGGAGCCCCACCUCUGGCUCCCUGUACAGCGGGGAGUCUGCUUUUCCCUCUGCUCCUCCCCCUGCUCAUGCCCGCGCUCUCUCUCUCAAAUAAAUAAAAUCUUGAAAAAAAAAAGAGAAUUUUGAGUUGAAAGGGAAAUAAAAUACCAUCACAAAGGGUCUAGAGUAUGCUAACAAUCCUGAAAAAAGAAGCCCCAAGCCCCAACGAAGAAUGGGGCUGAUUGUGAGACUUAUUUUUAGAAUACUGUGUGUAUACCACAGUGUUAACGGUGAUUAUCUCUUUGUUAAGGAAUUCCAUCUAGUUUGGGGUUGAUUUUUUUCCCCCCACCCUUUUUAGCUUGUUGAAUAAAAGGUUAUAUUCCAGCUGAAUCAUCUAUUAAUAUAAUGAAUAGGUAUUCCUUUUAUGUAAAGGUUAACGAAAAAUCUGCAUCCCUUCGGAUUCAUAUUUGCCUAUUGCGAAAGAAAAAGCUUUUCUUCGUCCCUUUUUUCUUUUUAUUUGAAUAAGGAAAGAAAGGCUACGCCGCUUGCAAGCAGCCACGAGAGGAAAAGGCAACUCCGGAGCCCCUAGGAGACGCGGCUCGCGGGCGCCCGUCCUUUGCAGAGCACGCUGGGAAAUGUAGUUCUAGGCGGCCGCGUGCGCAAGCGCACUUCCUGGCUUGCGGGGUAGGGGGUUCUGGAUAGCCGGAGGGUGUUCCUUUCUCCUUGGUGCCGGUGAGAUUGUUCUUUCCCUGACGCCGGCACCCGGGUGGUAGCUGGGGAGGGACCUCCGCUCAGGAAUUCUCACGACCUCAGGGGAUGGGGCGGGGUGGCGAGGGGCUUGGAUAGCGCGUCGUCCCGGCUUAGGGGUGGGGGCGGGAGAAAGGCAGAGAAUUGGAGGUCCGGGUUCGGGUCCGAGUUCAGCGCGAAGCGGUCAUCUGGACUCCACAUCGGGUUUAAGCGGGUCUAGGGCUGUGUCUGGGUUAGGGGGAGGCAGAGCUCUGGCUGGGCAUUCCAGACUUAAGGGUCGGGGUUUGGGCUGUCACUGGUGAGUUGGGAGUUGGGGGGUAGGUCAGGAGCGCGGAGCGUGGGGCUGCGCGGGGCCUUUGGCUGUGCUGGGAUCAGAUAGUCAAAGGGGUAAGGACGACUGCUCCAGACCUUGUUUGGGAAUUAGAGGAAAACUGAUCUAGGAACUUAGUAGCACCCCACCCCCGAAUGUAGGAUGUAGGUCUUCUGACAUCCACUUCUUUGCCCUUUCCUCUGAAAACAGUUUCUCCAGAGGUUUUUUGUUUUGUAGGCAAAUUUCUGAAUCCUCUUCUGUAAGGAGCUGUGGAAUUGCUUCCCUACUUUCUGUGGGCUAUGAAGAGCAGUGAUUGUUGUGAGUCACAUCCAGGUAGUCAGACAGGGUUCCCAUAAAGACAAUCCUGACUUCUCAGGGCCCCUGUCUUUUUCAGCUCUGCCUUCUCGGGUCUCUAUUUGAGUAGAUAAGAUGGCAUUAAGAAGGAAGACCUGACUACAUUGUCUUUGGUGAGCAAAACUUUUCAAGGCCAAUUUGUACAUUAAGCUGGUUUUAAUUUCUAAAGUUCCCACCCGAAGUUUGAAAAAUCUCAUGUAGUUAAAUAUCCUUUGAAAUUUUCUUAAAUUGCUCAUAAGUUAUAUGUACACAUUACAUGUAUACAAUUAUGCAGUAAUAUAUGUAGAAAUGUACACAAAUAUGUUCUUUAAACAUUGAACUAACUCCUGGCAUGGCAAGAGGCUCACUUAUGAGAAGCAUGUGAGAAUUGAGACUGAGGAAACAGCAGAAUUUUCCAUCUCACACUUCACUCCAGGUGGCAUACUUUCUUGGGCCUGUUUGGCAACUUUGUACACAUAAAACAUACAAGUAAGUUUGUAACAACUAGGUUUUACUUUUUCUUUCCUGAAAUACCAUCUCUGUGCCCAGAGGGAGGAAAGAUUUUUCUUUCUUUCAUUCAUUGAAUAAAUGUUAAUUGAGGGCCUGCUUUUUUGCCAGGUAAUGUUUGAGGCACUGGGGAUACAGCAGUGAACAAAGCAAAGUCCCUGUGUACAUAGAACUGAUGGUCUAGGGUGGGCACACAGACAAUAAACAAGUAAAUAUAAGUGUGUCAGAGAGUGACUUGCAGAGGAAACUACACUAGAGUACUAGGCUUAGGGAGAACCUAGGACAGCUGUUAUUUCAUGAGUGUGACAUUGAGUAGAGACCUGAAGAAAAUGAGAGGGUGAGCCUUGCACAUAGGUGAGGUUGGGGUGGGGAGUUCCCAGGCAGAGGGAACAGCAAAUGCAAAGGCCCAGAGGUUCAAAUAUGCUGAGCCUUUAUGCAGGCCAUUGUGGACAGAAGAGUGAGUAACAGCAUAGUAGAUGUUGAGAUGAGAGAGGUAAGAGGGGUCCAGAUCACACAGGGCUGUGUAGGAGUUUCGCAUUUACUCAGAGGGAGAAGAGAAGCCAUAGGAAGGUGUCUGUAGUAAUUAUUGUUUAAUCAGCUCUAUUGAGGUAUAAUUUACAUGCAAUUUACCGAUUUUUGUAGGAGGAUUUUGAGGAGAGAAGUGACAUGAUUUGACUUAUAUGUUAAAGGAACCGUUCUGGAUGCUCUGUUGAGAACAGACUGUAUGGAAGCAAGAACAGACAUAGGACAUUUAGUUAGGAACUAAGGCAGUGAUCCAGGUGAAAGAUGACUUCCCUGUUUUCUUUACUCUCCCACUCCUGCCAACUAUCUGAUACAUUGCUGACAUCAGACCUCCAGCUCCUUCCCCACGUUCACCCUCAGCUGAUGAUCCUGCUUCCUGUUUCACUGAGAGAAGAGAACAGCCAAAAAAAGAACUUCCAAAGGCUCUCACUCUCACAUCCACCAACCUUCCUGGAAGUAUUCCCGUGUAAUCUGUCCUCCUGUUACUAUAGAGUAAAGAUCUGUGCUCUAAUUUAUGGUCAACCCCUCUACUUGUGCAUUAGAUCCCACUUCCUCUCAUGUACCCAGGCCAGUGUCUGGGAUAAUCAUUGGGCAAAAUUCCUGAUAGUUCCGUCGUUCACAUAUAUAUAUUUUUAAAUGGAUAUAUCGAGAACAGUAAUUUCUCCAGAAAAAUUCAAAUACAGGUUUAAAAAAUUAUAAAUGAUCUACUAUCCACCAACACUAAUAUGCACUGGAAGAAAUCUCUACAGUUACUUCAUGUUUCUGUCAUUCUUGAGUUACAAGGUACUUCAGUUUGAAGAGCUCAACUAUGCCCUCUUGGAACAGAACUAAAUGUAUCGGAUUUCCUUCUCUUCCAAGUGUGUCUCAUUUUCAGUUUAGUUUAUUUUAAACAUAGAAAAGAAGACAUCUUAGCCAAUUCUCAAAGCUUUGCUGUCUAUAUUUUCAGCUUGGGCUUAGACCGUUGAAAUGCAUAUUGAUUUCAGAUUUAUACCGAUCCCAUUGUCAUUUGUGAGUGGAGAUUUGCUUUAUAGGCAUUCAGGUUGCCUAUGGCAACGGGGAGGCUGUCCAUUUAAAAUGUUUACAGCUGUCCACCUGUUUGAUUAAAAAUAGAUACAUUGGUAUGGUCAUCAUUAUUUAAACAAUUUAUAAUGUAUUCGUGUCUUUAGAAAGACUCUGGAAAACUUGAAUAGCCCAUUGCUACAGACUUCUAAACCACUGAUUUUUAAUAAUUUUUAUCUCUGGAUUUGACUGAUAAUUCAAAAUAUUCUUUUGGUUAUUCUUGUCAUUUUCUUUUCAUAAGUUGUGCUUGGACUAUUUUUAAAGGGAGAGAAGUAAUACUGAACUUGAGAAUGGAGAGAGGCUAUAGUCCUCGUGCUGCCAGUGGCUGGCUGCGUGACCUUAGGCUUGAUUGUGUCUUGGGCAAAUGAGGGAAUUAGUCGUCAUGUUUCCUGAGCCUCUUUGUAGCUCAAAUGCCUGACAUCAUGACAUCGUUUGUGAGGUUCUGAAAGGAAAAGCCUCUAGCAUCUGGUCCUUGUGUUCAUCUUCUUGUCUCUACUUCUCUAACAAUAUCAGAGUCAGCCCUGAAAAAAAACCCCAAAGAAUUCAGUUAGAUGAUCUGAGGAACGUGGCAAAGAUUAGGACAGUCACACACACCUUUGCCUGGCUGAUUGUGGGGAUGGUUCUGAGUUGAGAGAAUAGUUGUAACCACAGGGAGUUUUAAUGACAGUCAGGUCACCAGUAUACUAGGAAGUAAGAAAGACAGGGUCAGUGAUGACAUUUUUAGGGGGGUUAUCAUGGGUUCUUUCUGGCUACCCAAAUCCAGAAACCUCAGAUUCAGCAACAACAACAGAGGUAUGGUUUAGAAUUCUGAGAUGCAGGCUUCCAGAAACUAAGCUGAUAAGGAAAAAAUAUCAGUUUGUAGAAUUUAAUCAAGUACUCACUGAAACAUCUAAAAGGCACCCUACCAGGGGCCCCUGGGUGGCUCAGUCAUUAAGCGUCUGCCUUCGGCUCAGGUCAUGAUCCCUGGGUCUUGGGAUCGAGCCCCGCAUCGGGCUCCCUGCUCCUCGGGAGGCCUGCUUCUCCCUCUCCCACUCCACCUGCUUGUGUUCCCUCUCUCGCUGUGUCUCUCUCUGUCAAAUAAAUAAAAUCUUUAAAAAUAAAAUAAAAUGCACCCUACCAAGUACAUGGGGUUUAAAAAAAAAAUCGGUGAUUAUAGUCCUUGCUCAGAAUAGGAAAGCUGACCACAGGAAACAUUAACUCUAAACUUCCUUUGCAGUUAGAAGACGUUCCAUAAAUGCUGGAAAAUGUAAUUAGUAAUAGUUUAGCUGUAGGUAGGUCUGCAUAGAAGAAGGGGGACAGAUUAGAUGAUAUUUUAGGAUCCUAAUCCUGUUCAAUUCUGAAUUUUUUACGGUAGUAUCAUAAUGCAGUCUGUACACUUUGAUUGACUAUAGAGACAUAGGGAAAAAUAGUGUCUUAAGUCACACUUCUUUAAGGGAGCAGGUUUAACUGGCAGGAUACUGUUGUACAAGGGCCACUGGAUUGGGAAUCGAGAGAAAUCUCACUCAUUCAAGAAAUAUUUAUUGGAUGUGUAAUGUAUGACAGUUUCUGUGUGUGGUGCUAAAGACAGAAGAGUAAAUUAGACAGUGUCACUGUCCUCAAGAAGAUUAUACUCUAGGAAGGAAGACAGAACAUUGAAAGUAGAACACUGAAGUAUAAUAAAUGUAAUAAUAGAGGAAGUAUAAUAUGCCACAGGUUAAUUUUUGCCGGUAACAUAAUAAUUAUUAUUAAAAUAUAUGAUUCAAACAAAGACAAAUUAUUGUCAUUAACCUGGUAUGAUUGUAAUGAGACUUUAAUACAUAUAAAUAAGUGCCCUUUUCAAAAAAGAUCUCCUCCCCGAAAGGCUGUUGCAGGUUAAAUACCCACUUAGUGGUAUAUGAGAGCACCCAUUUCCCCACAUACUUAAGCAAUACUGGAUAUUAUCUGUAUUUUAACAUUUUUGCCAAUCUGAUGUUUGAAAAAUGAGAUCUCAUUUUAAUUUGUGUUUCCAUGAUUAAAAGUGAGGUUGAAAAUCUUUUCAUUUGUUUGGGCAUUUGUGUUUCUUCUGUAAAUUUUCCUGUUUGUUUCCUUUGCUCACCUUUGUAUUGCAUUAUAUUUUUUCCUAAUUGACUUGUAGAAAUUCUAUAUAAUACAGCCAGUAAUCCUUUUGUUUUAUUAAGUUGCAAAUAUUUACUCCCAGUAUGACUUUUCUCUUUUAGUUUCAUUGAUAGCCUAGUAGGUUUGUGUGAUCAGAUCUGAGUCUUUAACUGUAUAACCUCCAGGUUUUACUUUUUUUUUUUUUUAAGAUUUUAUUUAUUUAUUUGACAGAUAGAUAGAGAGCACAAGUAGGCAGAGAGGCAGGCAGAGGGAGAGGGAGAAGCAGACUCCCCACUGAGCAGGGAGCCUGACGCGGGGCUUGAUCCCAGGACUCCAGGAUCAUGACCUGAGCCGAAGGCAGCCGCUUAACCGACUGAGCCACCCAGGCACCCCCAGGUUUUACAUUUUUAAGGGACUUUUCCACUGCAAGAUUAUAAAAAUAUUCUUGUUUUCUGGUUAUUUUAUAGUUUUAUUUUUAAUGUUUCACUCUAAUUCACCAAUAAUUUAAGGCAAUGGUAUUAAGUUUAUUUUUUUCCUCUAAAUGGAUAGGCCACUUGUCCCAAGAUCAUUUAUUGAAUCUCCAUCUUUCCCCCAAUAUUUGAAAUGCCACAUUUAUCAUGCAUUAAAUCCCUAAAAAGAAUGGGCCUAUUUCUAGGCUCAUUAUUCUGUUUUAUUAUUUUUUUCUGUCUGUCCUUGUGUCAGCACUACCCUGUUUUAAUGAACCUACUGUAUGUUUUGAUAUGUGGUAUGGACACAUCCCCAUUUGGCCUCAUUUCGUUUUUCUUUUUCAAAAAUACAUACUCUCUAAGUAAUUAAAUUGGGAGGCAUAUUAGUUUCACAGGGCUGCUCUAGCAAAGUCCCACAAACUGGGUGCCUUCAAACAAUGGAAGUGUAUCGUCCCAUAGUUCUGGAGGCUGGAAGUCCAAAAUCCAGGUGUCGUCAGCAGGGCCGUGCUGUGGCUGAAAGCUGCAGGGGAGUCCUUCCUCGCUUCUGGCAGUCUGCCAGCAGUCUUUGGCAUUUCUUGCUUACAGCUGCAUAACUGUAAUUGCCGCUUUCAUUGUCACGUGGUGUCCUCCCUGUGUAUGUGUCUUCACAUGACUCAUAAGCGGCUGACCCUACUCUAGUAUGACCUCAUCUAUGUAUAUCUGCACUGACUCUUCCCAAGUAAGAUCACAUUCUGAGGUACUGGGGGUUAGGACUUCAGCAUAUUUGGGGGAGAGGGGGUACCUUCAACUCUUUUUUUAAGAUUUUAUUUAUUUUUUAACACACAGAGAAACAGCGAGAGAGGGAACACAAGCAGGGAGAGUGGGAGAGGGAGAAGCAGACUUCCCGCCGAGCAGGGAGCCCAAUGUGGGACUCGAUCCCAGGACCCUGGGAUCACGACCUGAGCCGAAGGCAGACGCUCAACGACUGAGUCACCCAGGUGCCCGGUACCUUCAACUCUUAAGAGCGAGCUGGCAUCUUCAAGAUGUUGAGUUUCUUCCCGAAGAGACUCCAGAAACAUGCGUUCUCAGUUGAUUCUCUUUAACUGCUGAGAAAAAUGAUUGCUCCUCCCUUAUCCUUUAUAAUGGGACUGUCCUCACCUUCCUUCCCCAUCUUGCUCUUCUGAGCUAAGAUAUGAUAUGGAAGAGAUUGUUGACCCCAACUGGCGUCACUUGCCAACUCCUGAACUGGGGGUUCCUGUGUCUGAUCCCUUCUCUAAGGACAAAAUUGGCACUCCGGUGUCUUGGUCCUCAGAAGGAGUAAGGUGGUGAGAGAUGGAGCCCUACCUUCCUACCUCUAAAGAGAAACUGA